CAGAGUUCCUCCCUCCAGGGUCAGAAGGCAGCUAGCUGAUAAGGGGAGCAGGAAUGAAUCACUUACUUCCAACGUUUCCUAAAGAGGCAAUGGGCUCCUGGGCCCUUUCUCACUCGGGAGGGCCUUUCCUCUGCCCCAUCAUUCUGAGGGUUUCUGGAAGAUGGAGUCCCGCUCUGUUGCCCAUGCUGGAGUGCAGUGUCGCGAUCUGGGUUCGCUGCAACCUCCGCCUCCCAGGUUCAAGUGAUUCUCCUGCCUCAGCCUCCUGAGUAGCUACGAUUACAGGAAGCCCAUCCUGACCUCUAGCUCCCAAAGUCACCUGGACUUCCUCCAUCACAGACCUUGCCACAGUGUGAGAAACUGCCUCAUCCACACACCAGCUUCUCACCUCCACCCAGACCCUCUGAUUGGGACUCCCCUGAAGACUGUGUCCCCAGAGCCCAGAAAGAGUCCAGCACAGAGCAGCUGAGGGGGCAGGUGCUGGUGAACAGUGUCAAUGAGCCCCUGCUACUCACCAAGCCCUUCACACACGGGUCCUUCAUUUAAUGUCUUUCUUCUCCUAGAUAGAACCUUGGCUUUGCCAAGACCGGUAUAGUUGCUGCUCAAGAAAUAUGUGAGGAAAUUGUUGAGAUGAACCAGCACUCAGGGGAAGGGAGGCUUUCUGAGGCUGGGGCCUUAGCAGGUGGAGCUCCUGGGAUAAUAAUAAUAAGAAAGAUGCCUGGACGCGGUGACUCACACCUGGAAUCCCAGCAAUUUGGGAGGCUAAGGCAGGCAGAUCACUUCAGGCCAGGAGUUCAAGACCAGCCUGGUCAACAUGGUGAAACCUGGUCUCUACUAAAAAUACAAAAAAUUAGCUGGGCCUGGUGGUGUGAGCCUAUAGUCCUAGCUUCUCGGGAGGCUGAGGCUGGAGGGUCAAUGAUUGAACCUGGGAGGUGGAGCUUGUAGUGAGCCGAGAUCGCGCCACUGCCACUGCACUCCAGGCUGGGCAACACAGUGAGACUCUGCCUCCAAAAAGAAAGACAACAAUAAUCAUUAGUCUUUACUCUGCUCCAGGCACCAGGCUGAGUCUUCUCAGUUCAUCUCCCCAGCAGAUUAGUUCUAUUAUUGUUUCCAUUUCACAGAUGGGAAAAUCAAGGCACAGGGAGGGGAGGUGGCUUACUCCAGGUCACACAGUUAGUGAGAGGCAGAGGCAGGAUCAAAGCCAAGCCUGUUUGACUGAGGAGCCCGCCCCGAGACCUUAACCACACAACCCCUCCCUAGAAGGAAGGUGCCACUACUGGACACAUUUUGGAGAUGGAAACCAAGGCUAAGAGAGUCAGGAUGGCCUGCCCAUGUCUGGACACAGAAACUGAGGUUAAGCAGGAGAUGCCCGAGGCGGGGUCCCUGUCUCCUAGGCCAGCACCCUGAAGAAGGGGUGGGAGACAACCCCCCACCCCCCAAGCUGUCCCCUGCUUGUUGGAGUUUCUGGUCAAUACCCUGGCCUCUGUUACCCAGCCCAGCACCCAAGACGCUGCCUCUUCCGCCUGCCUGGAGUCUCGGGUGCCUUCACAAUCGGAUUCUCUGUCUCUGCAGCUGCUUUCCAUUUGAGCCCUUUGUGCUGAAAAUAAAAAAAAUGAAAAGAAAACUUGGCACCA
rnacentral:lncRNA from 1 species